rnacentral:rRNA from 1 species
CUAAGAAUCUUGCGCAAUGGGCGAAAGCCUGACGCAGCAAUUCCGCGUGGGGGACGAAGGCCCUCGGGUCGUAAACCCCUUUUGUGAGGGAAGAAGUUCUGACGGUACCUCACGAAUAAGACACGGCUAACUACGUGCCAGCAGCCGCGGUAAUACGUAGGUGUCGAGCGUUGUCCGGAUUUAUUGGGCGUAAAGAGCCCGCAGGCGGCUUGGUAAGUUCGAGGUGAAAUCUCCCGGCUCAACUGGGAGGGUGCCUCGAAAACUAUCAGGCUUGAGGCAGGGAGAGGGAUGUGGAAUUCCCGGUGUAGUGGUGAAAUGCGUAGAUAUCGGGAGGAACACCAGUGGCGAAGGCGGCAUCCUGGCCCUGUCCUGACGCUCAGGGGCGAAAGCGUGGGGAGCAAACC